AUGAACGCUGGCGGCGUGCUUAACACAUGCAAGUCGAACGAAGCAUUUAAGACAGAUUACUUCGGUUUGAAGUCUUUUAUGACUGAGUGGCGGACGGGUGAGUAACGCGUGGGUAACCUGCCUCAUACAGGGGGAUAGCAGCUGGAAACGGCUGGUAAUACCGCAUAAGCGCACAGUACCACAUGGUACAGUGUGAAAAACUCCGGUGGUAUGAGAUGGACCCGCGUCUGAUUAGCUAGUUGGCGGGGUAACGGCCCACCAAGGCGACGAUCAGUAGCCGACCUGAGAGGGUGACCGGCCACAUUGGGACUGAGACACGGCCCAGACUCCUACGGGAGGCAGCAGUGGGGAAUAUUGCACAAUGGAGGAAACUCUGAUGCAGCGACGCCGCGUGAGUGAAGAAGUAGUUCGCUAUGUAAAGCUCUAUCAGCAGGGAAGAUAGUGACGGUACCUGACUAAGAAGCUCCGGCUAAAUACGUG
rnacentral:rRNA from 1 species